rnacentral:rRNA from 1 species
GGGCUUGACAUCCCACGAACCUGCCCGAAAAGGUGGGGUGCCCGCAAGGGAGCGUGGAGACAGGUGGUGCAUGGCUGUCGUCAGCUCGUGUCGUGAGAUGUUGGGUUAAGUCCCGCAACGAGCGCAACCCUCACCCCUAGUUGCCACCGGGUUAAGCCGAGCACUCAAGGGGAACUGCCAGCGUCAAGCUGAAGGAGGGCGAGGAUGACGUCAAGUCACCAUGCCCCUUACGCCCUGGGCUACACACGUGCUACAAUGGCCAGUACAAAGGGACGCGAGACUGCGAAGUGGAGCUAAUCCCAAAAAGCUGGUCUAAGUUCAGAUUGCAGUCUGCAACUCGACUGCAUGAAGGAGGAAUCGCUAGUAAUCGCGUAUCAGCCCGGCGCGGUGAAUACGUUCCCGGGCCUUGUACACACCGCCCGUCACACCACGAAAGCUGUCUGUACUCGAAGUCGCUGAG